GAAUAAAGUUCUAGAUAGAAUACUGAUAAUGACAAUUUUCUAUCUAUUUGUCUUGACCAAAUUACGUGCCAGCAGUCGCGGUAAUACGUAAAAGACUAGUGUUAUUCAUCUUUAAUAGGUUUAAAGGGUACCUAGACGGUAUUAUUAGCCCGAAAUAGGGUACGAUUUUACUAGAGUUAUAUAUGAGAAGGAAGUAUUUAUGGAGGAGAGAUAAAAUUUGAUGAUACCUUAAAGACUGGUAACGGCGAAAGCAACCUUCUAUCUAAUAACUGACGUUGAGGGACGAAGGCCUGGGUAGCAAACAGGAUUAGAUACCCUAGUAGUCCAGGCAGAGAAUUAUGAAUGCCAUAGGUUAGAUUAAUUUAGUCUAUAAAUGAAAGUGUAAGCAUUCCACCUUAAGAGUAAUGCGGCAACGCAGGAACUGAAAUCAUUAGACCGUUUCUGAAACCAGUAGUGAAGUAUGUUAUUUAAUUCGAUGCUCCGCGAAAAACCUUACCACAAUUUGUAUAAUUCUUUAGUAUUUAACGUACAAAUGAAUUACAAGCGUUGCACGGCUGUCUUCAGUUAAUGUCGUGAGAUUUUGGUUAGUUCCAUAAAAUUAACGUAAACCCUUGCUUUAUUUUUAAAUAAUAUUUUAUAAAGUAGUUCGCCAUUAUAU
rnacentral:rRNA from 1 species